UCCCGCAACGAGCUCAACCCUUGUCAUUAGUUGCUACGAAAGAGCACUCUAAUGAGACUGCCGGUGACAAACCGGAGGAAGGUGGGGAUGACGUCAAGUCCUCAUGGCCCUUAUGGGUAGGGCUUCACACGUCAUACAAUGGUACAUACAGAGGGCCGCCAACCCGCGAGGGGGAGCUAAUCCCAGAAAGUGUAUCGUAGUCCGGAUUGUAGUCUGCAACUCGACUACAUGAAGUUGGAAUCGCUAGUAAUCGCGGAUCAGCAUGUCGCGGUGAAUACGUUCCCGGGUCUUGUACACACCGCCCGUCACACCAUGGGAGCGGGUUUUACCAGAAGUAGGUAGCUUAACCGCAAGGAGGGCGCUUACCACGGUAGGAUUCGUGACUGGGGUGAAGUCGUAACAAGGUAGCCGUAUCGGAAGGUGCGGCUGGAUCACCUCCUUUCUAG
rnacentral:rRNA from 1 species